AACUAACGCUGGCGGCGCGUCUUAAACAUGCAAGUCGAGCGGCAGCACUUCGGGUGGCGAGCGGCGAACGGGUGAGUAACACGUAGGUAAUUUGCCCACGGAUGGGGGAUAACCUUUCGAAAGGAAGGCUAAUACCGCAUAACACCAUGGUUACCACGGUAAUUAUGGUCAAAGCAGCAAUGCGUCUGUGGAGAAGCCUGCGUCCGAUUAGGUAGUUGGUGAGGUAACGGCUCACUAAGCCAGCGAUCGGUAGCCGGCCUGAGAGGGUGAACGGCCACACUGGAACUGGGACACGGUCCAGACUCCUACGGGAGGCAGCAGUUAAGAAUCUUGCGCAAUGGAGGCAACGCUGACGCAGCGACGCCGCGUGUGCGAUGAAGGCCCUCGGGUUGUAAAGCACAACAAACAGGGAAGAAGAAAGUGACGGUACCUGUCUGAAGCACCGGCUAACUACGUGCCAGCCGCCGCCGUAACAC
rnacentral:rRNA from 1 species